rnacentral:misc_RNA from 1 species
GAUGAAGAACGCAGCGAAAUGCGAUAAGUAGUGUGAAUUGCAGAAUUCCGUGAAUCAUCGAAUCUUUGAACGCUCAUUGCGCCUUCUGGUAUUCCGGAAGGCAUGCCUGUUCGAGAGUCAUUAACAACCGUUUCGAUCCCUUUCUGUCAGAAAUUACAAAGAGGAAAAGGGUUUGGUUAUGGUGGAGGAGGGAAAGGGAGCGUUUAGCCUGUAAAAAAAGAGGCUGUGUUCCGCCUCCCCCCCAAAAUUGUACAGGCGGUCGUGUGCGCCCACGCAUCGAGGUGUUGUAAAAGCUGCCACGGCACUUUUCACCUGUCCAGUGCGAGAUUGGCCAGCCGGUUUAAAAACCCCUCCAAACAAUCAAAGGUUGACCUCGGAUCAGGUAGGGAUACCCGCUGAACUUAAGCAUAUCAAUAAGCGGAGGA